GUAUCUUCGCGUUCCUCGCGCCGAAGCAGCAUUGCGCAUGUCAGACCCGAGUACCGGCAUCCGAAACAUCCGGUGACAGCGUUUUGUGGUGCAGUGUUUGGUAAUGAACCCUUGCUCGAUUUUUUUAACAAAAGUGAAAAAGCAGUCAUGCUUGGUGCUAAUUGUGCUGUAUAUGGAUGCAGUGCAUGCAAAGGAAGGAACCGGGGCCUGUCAUUUUUUUCCAUUCGGCAACGAAAAAAACAAAAUUCCGAAUGGGAACAGGCUCUUAUUCAUUCUGUUAACAGAUGCGACAAGAGUUUUAACAUUGAAAGGGCGACUAUAUGCUCUCGGCAUUUUGCCCCAGAAUGUAUCAUCACAACAGCUGUUGGAAAACGUUCAUUGGUACCAGGCAGCCUGCCAACCUUACUAAUACCACCAAGAAGUGUAGAAACUCCAAAGUCUCAACCUAGGAAACCUCCAGUCAGUAGAAACCAAGAUUUAGCAUGAGAAGUUUUAGGUGUGGGGAUGGAGGAGGGGCAAGAAAUAAUGUGUUUCAGGAGUCUCUGUUUACAGCCAAUUCUAAUUUAUAAUUUUUUUCUGGGGUAAUCAUAAAGCAGCUGAAAAACUAUUCAGUAUGCUCCAGCUUGAAUAUGCUAAAAAUAAUAAUCAUAAUUAUGAUGUGUAAGUGUAGUCUAUGUAUAUCAUAAAACGCCUGCUGUGUAAAUACCACACAAACUUAACCACCACAAUCUGAUUUUUUCCCCCUCAUUUCUUACCAACAAUUGUUCCUGUUUUUACACCACCAUCAUUAGUUAUCAUCUUCACGUCAGUUUAAUAUCUCUCAUCACAAUAACAACCUCAGUUGUCACUCAUCACUCAUUUCUAAUAAUAGUUCUGCUCAUCAUCCAGCAUUGCUCAUCUCAUGACUUUCAAAUUUUGUGUGCUUGUUUCAACCGUUUUCUGGUUCCCUUUUCUCUCUUUUCCUUUUUUGAACGCCGAUAAAAGUCAUCCAUAAAUGUCUUGCACUUGUGGUCUUGAAAUAAAUGUAUAUCACAUCC